AAGUCUUGUUUUAUCAAGGUGUAUUUUAGGCAGAUCCAGCUGAGAGCUUGGCAUCCUGAGGCCUCAUCUGCCUGGGUCAGUAGGAAAAAGGAAAGAAGGUGGAAACAGGAGGUCUGUAGUGAAGAGGUGUCUAACAGCUCAUAUUUGUCAUUUGAAGAAAUAAGCAUCAUGAAUAAAGCGCAAAUGUAUUGUAGAGAGCUGGAAGAGCCUCAGACACCAGAAUUUGAUUAUUCACUUUUCCAAGAUAGAGUGGCAUGGAGUGGGGAAAGACCAUUAAGGAAUGCUGAACAUAAAGGAAUCCUGGGGACCCGACCCUCAGUUAAGACAUAAGAAUGACAACCAGGAAUGUGCUCCUCAUCUACACAAGGUCAAGUUUCCAUCUGCUGAUUCACACAUCAGUCUAUUCUGACUGUAUUCCUAGAUCUACCAGCAAAACCACUUCCUGUCCGAAUUUACAGUCAAACAAAGAAAAGCCAAAUCUGCAUGAGAUACCUUGAAUCCAGCCCAAUCCAAUCCUGCAGAAACCAUUAGGAUUUAAUAGUAGUGACUGAGAGGCAUGA
rnacentral:lncRNA from 1 species